ensembl:snRNA U1 U1 spliceosomal RNA
AUACUUGCCUGGCAGAGGGCGAUACCAUGAUCCCGAAGGUGGUUUUCCCAGGGCGAGGCUUAUCCAUUGUACUCUGGGUGUGCAGACCCCUGGGGUUUCCCCAACCGUGGGAAACUCAAUGCAUAAUUUGUGGUAGCGGGUGACUGCAUUUGUGCUCUCCCCUG